CUCUGCCCGUUCCUUCUGGAGUGCCCUGUCUUUUUUUAUGGAUCUGCAUGGUGAUUCGCUGCUGCUAGGCAUUUGACUAUUCAUAUGCCUAUAUAUGGGGUGUGAUGGUAAGGAGGCGCCAAGACGUUCCUAUUUCUAACACGGUAAAAGUGCAGGAAACUCUGCUGUGGAAAAAAGUUGCCGUACUGCUUGUUCUGAUAGAGAGUAUUAGAAAUCAAACCACGAAUCAAGCCGUGCAGGGGAAUUUAGUGAAGUCCAUGGUGGCAUUGAACGACUCAGGCGUCCAUAAGAAGAAUGGGGCACCUGUAUAUCUACAUCAUUACAAAGUGUCAGUAGGUGCGCGUGUGCUCUUCAGGAAGGCGUCCACGAUGGGCUUUAUCUAAAUCCUGCUAAAAUGUCAAUCUCAAGGGAAGCCUUCGGUUAGUGGGUUUAAGUGCUCAGAAUGUGAUGAGGACAAGUUGGUGACAGAAUGGAUAUCAAGUCUCUUAGGUUGCUUGUUUUCAAACUUGGGUUUGGAUAGAUUUAAGCUGAUAUAUGUCUGCCUGUGAUAACCUAUAAGUUUUGUCUGUGCAACCCCUGGGUUAAGACCACUGUCAAGGUAGGUUAAGUAAUUACAACGAGCACAUCAAGAGCUUCUGAAGAUCCAGAAUGAGAAUAUGAAGAUAUAUUAAUUCUGUCUGAUGUCUUCUCUGAGGAUACGACUCUGGGUAUUUUUAGGCUAGACUCCUUCUGACACCUGCUGCAGUCUGUAAAUUUCCUUCAAGACACCCUGACCAAAUGGCUAAAGUCACAUACUGUACAGUAUAAGCCUCUAAAAUAAUCCUCAUCUUAAACAACACGGCUUUAGACUCUUUUAGAUGUGUGAUAGUUAUCUGUGUUUCAUGCAGAUAUCUCUUAAUGAAAGAUUAGAGCAGUAAUAUAUAUUGACAUUUUAUAUUCCAACCUUUACAACAGUUUAUUUUAGUGCAUUCAUUUGGGAAAUUAUAGCCUAUUUCAGAAUAUUUCUUACUAACUGAUCAUUUAAUAGUGGAUUCAAAUAUAUCAUCUAAAGGAAGAAUCAAUAAAAUUGAGACCAAUAAAUUACAAGUAACCUGGGUAAAAAAAUAUAUAUAAUUUUGCACGGCCAUCCUAGCAUGUAACAAGUUCUGGGAUUCGCCUUGCCUGGAUGUAAAAUAGUAUAGUAUAUUUUGUGAAGCCUGAGUGAAAAACUAUCUUCCAUUUUCUGUAUCACUUAUCCUACUGUAUGCAGGUCACAGAGUGUCUGGAGUCUAUCCCAGGGAACUCAGGGCACAUGGCGGGGUGCGGGGUGACAAGGUGCCAGACAAUUGCAGGGCACAAUCGCACAGACACUCACACACCGUGGACAAUUUAGAGAUGAACAGGCAAAAAAAUAAUGUCAUUAUAAAACCAGAGUACACAAAGGAAAACCCCAUGAAGCACUGGGGAAAAUGCAUGCCACAGGUGGGUAUCGAACCCCCAACCAUGGAGGUGAAAGGCAAACAUACUAACCAUCUACACAUUGCCAAGAUCUAAAAUAAUUCAGAGACUUUAAAGGAGAACUAAUGUAGUCCGAGACAAAAUAUGAGCUCUGUUUCCACAUUCCAUCAGCGACAAAAGCAAUUUAUUUGUUAUAUUUAUUUUUCUUUGGUCAGUUUUGUCCAGUCCAGACAUCUGUCAGCCUUUCCAAAUUCAAAUUUUUCCUUUGAAAUAGUUUGUGUGAUGCCUUACACUGUGUAAGUAAGUAAAUUCUUUCUAAAAGGCUUAAUCAGAUUAUUUUGUCUUAGACUACAAGGUCAACGUGUCAUUGUGAGUAUGACACACUGAACAAGUAUUAGACUGUUUGUGUAAUCCCAGAUGGCAGGAGUGAUGCAAAAAAUUAACUUGUUUUUAAAGGCACAUAUGGUAUGAAAAAUUAAAAAUGCCAUGGAAUCCUCUAACUUGACUGUGAAAGUGUUACAAUAUACUGCUUUCCUACAGUAAAUCCAUUCCUGAAGUGGGCUAUAAAUUAAAUUCAAUAUAACAGAAAGAAACCCAUUAUAAUUUUACAGGCAUGAAAGGGUCACAGUAGUUUAAAAAGACCACUAAUCAACUCAUGAAUAAAAUCAAGUCAAAAAUCAAAAAUUCCUUUUUAAAAUGAUUAAAAAUCCACAGAUGCAUUUUACACGAAUAUCAACAUUAGCAUUAUCAACGUUAACAUUAUCCUGUGCAUAUUAUUAUACAUUACAGUGUAAGCCUCAACAUUUGUAAUUGUUUAAAUGCUUUCAUGCUUUUCAUUUAAUAUGAAAAUUUAAAAAUAGACAUGAAGUGAACGUGUCAGCCUUUAUCAGGAAGGAGUCUAAACUGCAAAGUAUUAAAGCACAGAGCCAGAUUCAAUUGCCUCUCAAACAUAACUGUGUCACUGACAGCAUUUUAUUCAUCUCCCUUUUUCUGUUUUUUCUACAGUGAAAUAGGUCUAUGUACAGUAGUAUCCACUUCUGUUCAUAUUAAAUUUGUGCUAUAUUCA